GGCCGGGCACUCUGAAGAAACUGCCGGUGACAAGCCGGAGGAAGGUGGGGAUGACGUCAAGUCCUCAUGGCCCUUACGGGCUGGGCUACACACGUGCUACAAUGGCGGUGACAGUGGGUUGCGAUCCCGCAAGGGGGAGCUAAUCUCAAAAAGCCGUCUCAGUUCGGAUUGCAGUCUGCAACUCGACUGCAUGAAGUCGGAAUCGCUAGUAAUCGCGGAUCAGCAUGCCGCGGUGAAUCCGUUCCCGGGCCUUGUACACACCGCCCGUCACACCAUGGGAGUUGGUUCGACCCGAAGCCGGUGCGCUAACCCGCAAGGGGAGCAGCCGACCACGGUCGGGUCAGCGACUGGGGUGAAGUCGUAACAAGGUAGCCGUAGGGGAACUGC
rnacentral:rRNA from 1 species